rnacentral:rRNA from 1 species
ACCCGCUGAAUUUAAGCAUAUUAUUAAGCGGAGGAAAAGAAACUAACCAGGAUUCCCCCAGUAAGGGCGACUGAAGCGGGAAGAGCUCAGGAUGUGAAUCAGCGCUUCGGCGUUGAAUUGUGGUCUGUAGAUUGCAUCAUUACCAGCCGGGCCAAGUCUCUUGGAAAAGGGCAGCUUAGAGGGUGAAACUCCCGUGCGCCUGGCAGGAUGAGAUGCUAAUCAACGAGUCGAGUUGUUUGGGAUUGCAGCUCAAAGUGGGUGGUAAAUUCCAUCUAAAGCUAAAUAUUGGUGGGAGACCGAUAGCGUACAAGUACCGUGAGGGAAAGAUGCAAAGAACUUUGAAAAGAGAGUUAAAGAGUACCUGAAAUCGCUGAAAGGGAAGCGAAGGAAACCAGUGCAGGUCAAGUUAUACUUCCCUGACCGCUCGCGGCUUGGGCGCUGUGGCUUGACCAGAGUCUUGCUGGGUUGAAACUUUCGGAAGAGCUUGAAGGGAGUUGACCUUCUUUGCUGACGUUUGUUUCAACUGAGCCAGACAAAAUGGUUUUCUUUUCCCCGUCUUGAAACACGGACCAAGG